rnacentral:tRNA from 1 species
CGGGGCGUAGCUCAGUCUGGCAGAGCGCAGCGUUCGGGACGCUGAGGCCGCAGGUUCAAAUCCUGUCGCCCCGA